AAUAGUUUAGUAUAAAUAGUACACUUUCUUUCCAAGUAAGAGGUCUUUAAUAGAACUAUUA
rnacentral:tRNA from 1 species